GAUGAACGCUGGCGGCGUGCCUAAUACAUGCAAGUCGAGCGAAUGGAUUAAGAGCUUGCUCUUAUGAAGUUAGCGGCGGACGGGUGAGUAACACGUGGGUAACCUGCCCAUAAGACUGGGAUAACUCCGGGAAACCGGGGCUAAUACCGGAUAACAUUUUGAACCGCAUGGUUCGAAAUUGAAAGGCGGCUUCGGCUGUCACUUAUGGAUGGACCCGCGUCGCAUUAGCUAGUUGGUGAGGUAACGGCUCACCAAGGCAACGAUGCGUAGCCGGCCUGAGAGGGUGGUAGGCCACACUGGGAAUGAGACACGGCCCAGACUCCUACGGGAGGCAGCAGUAGGGAAUCUUCCGGAAUGGACGAAAGUCUGACGGAGCAACGCCGCGUGAGUGAUGAAGGCUUUCGGGUCGUAAAACUCUGUUGUUAGGGAAGAACAAGUGCUAGUUGAAUAAGCUGGCACCUUGACGGUACCUAACCAGAAAGCCACGGCUAACUACGUGCCAGCAGCCGCAGUAA
rnacentral:rRNA from 1 species